UGAAGCUGGAAUUGCUAGUAAUGGCAGGUCAGCAUACUGCCGUGAAUACGUUCCCGGGCCUUGUACACACCGCCCGUCACACCAUGAGAGUUGGAAAUACCCGAAGCCUGUGAGCUAACUGUAAAGAGGCAGCAGUCGAAGGUAGAGCCAAUGAUUGGGGUGAAGUCGUAACAAGGUACC
rnacentral:rRNA from 1 species